rnacentral:rRNA from 1 species
AGAGUUUGAUCAUGGCUCAGAACGAACGCUGGCGGCGCGUCUUAAGCAUGCAAGUCGAACGGCAAGGAAGUGCUUGCACUUCCCUAGAGUGGCGGACUGGUGAGUAACACGUGGGUGACAUACCUUUUAGUUGGGGAUAGCUAUUAGAAAUAGUAGAUAAUACCGAAUGUGACCAUUACAGUUAGAGUGUAAUGAGGAAAGGAGCUAAGGCUCCGCUAAAAGAUUGGCCCGCGGCCCAUUAGCUAGUUGGUGAGGUAACGGCCCACCAAGGCGAUGAUGGGUAUCCGGCCUGAGGGAGUGAUCGGACACAUUGGGACUGAGAUACGGCCCAGACUCCUACGGGAGGCAGCAGCUAAGAAUAUUCCACAAUGGACGAAAGUCUGAUGGAGCGACGCCGCGUGGAUGACGAAGGCCGAAAGGUUGUAAAAUCCUUUUAAACUGGAAGAAUAAUCAUGGUAGGGAAUGACCGUGAGGUGACCGUACAGUUUGAAUAAGCAACGGCUAAUUACGUGCCAGCAGCCGCGGUAACACGUAAGUUGCGAGCGUUGUUCGGAAUUAUUGGGCGUAAAGGGCAUGUAGGCGGUUUUGAAAGCUUGAUGUGAAAUCCCACAGCUUAACUGUGGAACUGCAUUGAGAACUACAAGACUAGAGUUACUGAAGGGAAACUAGAAUUCCAAGUGUAGGGGUGAAAUCUGUAGAUAUUUGGAAGAAUACCAAUGGCGAAAGCAAGUUUCUGGCAGAUAACUGACGCUGAGGUGCGAAAGGUGCGGGGAGCAAACAGGAUUAGAUACCCUGGUAGUCCGCACAGUAAACGAUGUACACUAGUGUUUGACCAUUAGGUUGGGUGCCAAAGCUAACGUGAUAAGUGUACCGCCUGGAAGUAUGCCCGCAAGGGUGAAACUCAAAGGAAUUGACGG